UGGGGAAUAUUGCGCAAUGAGCGAAAGCUUGACGCAGCAACGCCGCGUGGGGGAUGAAGGCUCUCGGGUCGUAAACCCCUUUCAGCAGGGACGAAAAUGACGGUACCUGCAGAAGAAGCCCCGGCCAACUACGUGCCAGCAGCCGCGGUAAUACGUAGGGGGCAAGCGUUGUCCGGAAUCAUUGGGCGUAAAGAGCUCGUAGGCGGCUUGGCAAGUCGGGUGUGAAAACUCCAGGCUCAACCUGGAGAGGCCACCCGAUACUGCUAUGGCUUGAGUUCGGUAGGGGACCACGGAAUUCCUGGUGUAGCGGUGAAAUGCGCAGAUAUCAGGAGGAACACCGGCGGCGAAGGCGGUGGUCUGGGCCGAAACUGACGCUGAGGAGCGAAAGCAUGGGUAGCGAACA
rnacentral:rRNA from 1 species